rnacentral:lncRNA from 1 species
GUUUUCAGAAAGCCUGAGCUCCUGGGGCAAGAAGUUUCUCUUGGGAAACAAGAUGGAUGAGUACUUUAAAGAAGAAAUAGUGGCUGCAAUGGGCCUAAGGCUGAAAGAUGGUAAAAUAAAAUCAGAGAUGCAUGCAAUUGACAUCUUAUCAGAACAGUGUGGACCUGAAACCAGAGAGCUUCCCAAAUGUUUUAUGCCGAAUGUUUUACUCCUACCUGGAGUAAAUAUGACUCCAGUGGACUUGUAUACCAAACACCACAGAAUCUUUCACACAGCUUGUGGUAG